rnacentral:rRNA from 1 species
GACGAACGCUGGCGGCGUGCUUAACACAUGCAAGUCGAACGGAAAGGCCCUGCUUUUGUGGGGUGCUCGAGUGGCGAACGGGUGAGUAACACGUGAGUAACCUGCCCUUGACUUUGGGAUAACUUCAGGAAACUGGGGCUAAUACCGGAUAGGAGCUCCUGCUGCAUGGUGGGGGUUGGAAAGUUUCGGCGGUUGUGGAUGGACUCGCGGCUUAUCAGCUUGUUGGUGGGGUAGUGGCUUACCAAGGCUUUGACGGGUAGCCGGCCUGAGAGGGUGACCGGCCACAUUGGGACUGAGAUACGGCCCAGACUCCUACGGGAGGCAGCAGUGGGGAAUAUUGCACAAUGGGCGGAAGCCUGAUGCAGCGACGCCGCGUGCGGGAUGACGGCCUUCGGGUUGUAAACCGCUUUCGCCUGUGACGAAGCGUGAGUGACGGUAAUGGGUAAAGAAGCACCGGCUAACUACGUG